rnacentral:rRNA from 1 species
UACAGAGGUCUCAAGCGUUGUUCGGAUUUACUGGGCGUAAAGGGUGCGUAGGCGGUGGUGUGUGUAGCGUGUGAAAUCUACGGGCUCAACCCGUAAAGUGCGCGCUAAACUGCAACACUAGAGUAUGGGAGAGGGAAGGGGAAUGCAAGGUGUAGCGGUGAAAUGCGUUGAUAUCUUGCAGAACACCGGAGGCGAAGGCGCCUUCCUGGAACAUGACUGACGCUCAGGCACGAAAGUCGGGGGAGCAAAC